rnacentral:rRNA from 1 species
CAUCGUUGCCCCAAUGCCUUGGCCUCGUGCUAGGCACCGAGCUGGGCGAAUGCUGGCUUCCCGCGAGCAACGCCUCACGGUUGGUUGAAAACUGAGUCCGUGGUGGAGGGCGGCGCGAUGGAUGGUGGUUGAGUUAAAGCUCGAGACCCAUCGUGGGUGUCAUGCGCACCGGCAUUGCGACUCUGUGAUCCAUGAGCUCUCUUGGUCGCCCAAGACGGGA